AGUUUUACCUCUCUCAAGUCAGUCGCACCGCUGGCAUUAGGCUCCUCUUAUCCAUAAUUGUGAUUGGUCAGAUUCUGCUAACGCCACCCCUUUCAUGUGAACGCGCAGGGAAACCCAGGGUUAAUCUAUCAAGUUGAUAACCAGCCUCGUGUGGCCGCUCAUUGAUUUGAUUUGUGCAGGUUACAGCCAUGCCCUCUGUUUCUGGUGCUGCAUCCUUGGAAGAAGUUCCCUCUCCUUGCGCAUCUCCAGCUAACCCAACAAAUGCAGAAGUCACUUGUGCUAAAGCAUCUUCAAGUGUGCGUCAGGCUACAGCAGCUGUGACCAGUGGUGACAGGUUAUCUGCUGAUGGUGAAGAUAAGGAUGAAUCAUUCACCGAGACUCAGCUGGAGAACACAGACGAGACUCCCGGUGAGACGAAGUGGAUCCGUCCUGAUUUGCCCAGCAGAUGUACUUGGAAGCUGGGCGCACCCAUGUCUGAGUCGCCUCAUAGCCACUCAGCACGCACCAAGCCCUCCGGCAUCCUCUCCAGCAUCCUUGAGAAAAUUGGACACACACCUCUGGUUCGCUUGAACAAAAUCCCAAAAGAGUUUGGGCUCAAGUGUGAUAUCUUGGCCAAGUGUGAGUUCUUCAAUGCAGGAGGCAGUGUGAAAGACAGGAUCGCCCUGCGCAUGGUGGAGGAUGCCGAGAGAGCCGGGGUCCUAAAACCAGGAGACACGAUCAUCGAGCCCUCCUCUGGAAACACGGGUAUUGGCCUCGCCCUCAUAGCUGCAGUAAAAGGCUACCAUUGCAUCAUUGUGAUGCCUGAGAAGAUGAGCAUGCAGAAGGUGCAUGUGCUGCGAGCUCUCGGGGCAGAAAUUGUCCGCACACCCACAGCUGCAGCUUUCGAUUCACCAGAGUCUCAUAUACGUACGGCCUGGCGUCUGAAGAACGAGAUCCCCAACUCGCACAUCCUCAACCAAUAUGGCAAUGCAAGCAACCCCCUGGCUCACUACGACACCACGGCUGAGGAGAUACUGGAGCAGUGUGAUGGUCAGUUGGACAUGUUGGUGGCUGGAGUCAGCACAGGCGGCACGCUCACUGGUGUUGCUCGAAAGUUAAAGGAAAGAUGUCCAAAUAUCAAGAUAGUCGGUGUGGAUCCUGAAGGCUCUGUUCUGGAAGGCUCAGAAGAGAAGAAUAAAAAGUUUCCAUUUGAAGUGGAGGGAAUCGGACUUGACUUCAUCCCCACCACGCUGGACGGAUCUAUUGUGGAUGUUUGGUACAAAUCAACCGACACAGAAACGUUCCUUAUGUCCCGCAAACUGAUCAGAGAGGAGGGUCUUUUGUGCGGUGGCAGCUCUGGCUCAGCGAUGGCAGCAGCUGUGAAGAUGGCUCAGCAGCUGGAGGAGGGGCAGCGCUGUGUGGUCAUCCUGCCUGACUCUGUCCGCAACUACAUGUCAAAGUUCCUGAGGGAUCAGUGGAUGUGUGAGAAAGGCUUCCUCUGCUUGGACGCUCAAAUGGACCCAAAACCCUGGUGGUGGAACCGGACUGUUCAGAGUCUACACCUGUCUGCCCCCCUCACUGUCUCACAUUCUGUGUCCUGCCAGAAAACCAUUGAGAUCCUAAAGGAGAACUCACUGGAUCAGGCACCAGUCGUCACUGAGUCAGGGGCCAUCCUGGGAAUGGUGACUCUGGAAACCAUUCUGUCCUCUCUGUUGGCGGGGAAGGUUGAACUUUCAGCAGCUGUUAGCGCGGUGCUCCUCAAAGACUACAAACAGGUGCACCUGACAGACGACCUGGGGAAGCUUUCCCAUAUCCUCAAAACUAAUAACUUUGCUCUGGUGGUUCACAAUCAUACACAAUACGGGGUCGAUGGGUCGGCCCUCCAGAGGAAGAUUUUAUUUGCCGUCGUGACAGCGAUUGACCUUCUCUCCUACAUCACCACACACGAGGGGCAGGACUGCAACCAUCAAAGUCAGGCGUCGUAACCCAGUGACUGUGUCCUGUUUAAGGCACACAAAACAUGUUAAUGUAAAGGAGGAGCCCGCUACAGAUUGGGUGAGAUGGAUGCAGAUGAUCUGCUGUGGCGACCCCUGCAAGGAGCCGGAGAAAGGAGAAGAAGAAGAAGCAGACACACAAAAGUUUUCCCCAGCAUGAGUCCUUACUGAGCUAAUAAGACAAUGCCUUUUCAUAAUAAGGGCGUUUCACCGUCACAACAAGUGACUCGUUGACAUCUGGCUCUACUCAGAUCAGCUGGUUGGUGUGUUUGCGAAAACUGCAAGGUGCCCCCUGGUGGACAAAAUAUGCAACAACAACACUGAUAACAUGGCUGAAGGGUGUUUCAGUAAACAUUCAAAUCUAUCAUCACUUAUGCCUACGCUGUGCUAUGACUGUUUGGCACGUUAACUUUGGAUAUUCCUUUAAAUAACGCCAUGUUUUUGUUGCAUUUAUGAAAUUAUAGACUAAAAAUAAGAAAAAUGCAAUUUCCUUUUUAUGGCACAAUUGUCAAAUUGGGGAAAAACCAAUUAUCUUGCACAGGCCUAAUUUGAAACAGAGUAGAUAUUAAUCUGUGUAGGUCAGUUUGAAUGCUACCUGUGUUUGUGCAAAUGAGUCCUAUUAAAAUUACUGAUAAGAAAUAAAACACACAAAACCCCAAUAGUUUUAAAAAUAAUGAAAGUUUUUUAAAAAAUAGGCCACUUUCAGUUUAAUUUGACCGAAGCCCAGCUGCAGGUCAUGCACAUGGGACAGCAGCAGGGUUGGUGGUGCACACUUAAAUUCAUGCACAAUUAAAUUCUUUAUAUUCAACUUUUCAUAACAGAUAAAAUUAAACAGCAGGAGUCAUGACUAGCCAUUUAUGUGUGUGCAUUCAUGCUAGUCAUGGGUUCGGAUAAACUAAUAAGGUGAUAGGCAUAAGCUAUGGCACAUUUAAGCUGACAAAAAAAACAAACUUUAUUUUUAAAACUUGCAGAGGUUACACCCUUUAACAGUUGGAAAAUUUAGACUUCCUUACAAUGAUAAAUCAAAUUAUAACUCAUAGAUUAUUCCUGUUCAUCUAGAUUUUAAUCAGAGCCACAGCAGAAGCUCCAUGCAGCCCUGCAGCUGCCGGUUACAGAGCCCUACCCUAGACUGCAUAAGCGCUGAUCUCACCCGUGCAAGGUUAUAUAUUAUACUGUAUAACCUGCAAACAAGAUAUGGCUCCAUAGUUUUGUUUCCCCAAAUAUGACAAAGCAUAUCAGCUCUCGCAGUUGAGUUCAGAGAUUGUGCUGCUAUGAAAAAAAUGCCUGUCUACUCUCUGUUUAGUGUGCAGGGAAUCAGAUGGAGGAUGCUGAGAUAUGCAGGAAAGACGUAAUCGAUGUGCUUGUCAACACAUGCUCGACAGUGACACACACACGGAGAACACACACUGAGGUGUGAAUGACAUGUCUCUGUCUAAGUGGCCCAAAUUGAAUCUCAUCGUUUCCGAGCCGGUGCACAGCUACCGGCAGUGACGGAGGACUCUCGUCACUGGCCUGUUGCCUUCAGUUAUGUCACUGAGUGAGACUCGGGCCUCAAAUCCCUCAGUGCCAGUGCCAAUGUCACUAACAGCCCUGCUGGUACAGCACAUCACACCUCCCAACCACCAUUAUCUAACCCAGUAGAGUGAAGUCACCGGGUCACACACCUGCAGUCACGACCCCUCGCCAAGAAAGUUACACUUGCGUCAGUGCAGCAAAUGGUUCAACCUCUAAGCUAUUAUCAUUGCAAAUCCUUUCUGGGAAAUCAAUAAAGUUGAAAAUAGCACAGUUAAAUGUUUAAUGAUGAAGAAUACACCGUGUCCAGAGAGCUACUGCAGCACCCUGGCUCAGUCUGCAUACUGAGCAUAAACUGCGUCUUUGUAGUCCCCACAGGUUUGCAUGUGCAUAUUACAAAUAAAUCUUGAAGGACUUUGAGGAAAAUUCAGUGAAAAGGGUUUCAUGUGAGAUUUACAAAGAACUAUAAAAUUCAGCAUUUUAAUCCAGAUGAAUGAUGAUUCAUUGAUUUAAUCCACUGAAAACUUAUGUUUGGAAAACUUUCCCAGAGUCUUGAAAAGUAAAUUUUGUCUGUGUCACAAAUGUAUGAGUCAAGAGAUCCAAGCAGGAGAAGCAGACAGCGGUAGCUAGAAACCAUUUUUGGCUUACGAUUUAGGACAGCAAUUACUGUCAAAGUUCAGUGAAUGCCAUCCACGGGGACUGAAAUCCACACGUAACACAAACACUGUGUGGUCUCUUUGUAUGUGUAAAUGCAAAGAAAGGGCAAAGUUAAUUUUAAUUAUAUAGGUGACUGAAUAUUUCCAAUGAAUCCGCACGACCAGAUAAGAGGCAAAAGUUGGAUGGAACGUUUGAAUUCUCUAUUUUCAAACUAUUCAUUCAUAGUUGGAAUUUCUUGCCAUAGAUUUUGUUAUCGAGUUUUUUGAUGAGUUUCACUGAGUUAUUUCAUGAAAAACAACCAAACUUGUGUUGGACCUUAUUUGAUGAGUCUAUUGCAUUGAUUUUAUUUUUAAAUCCUUCAUUGAUCGCUUGCACCCAAUUCAUUUUUGUCACGCUGCUGUUGUUGUUAUACAGCACAUUUUUGUUGCUGAUGUAUGUAAUGUUUGUACCUGUGACGUUUUGUAUGUAAUUUCCGAUAGGACCAUGAAUGCUACUGCUCAUGUAUCACACACAGACACACAUACACACUCACACAGUGCAUUAAGGACAAGUUUCAUCUUGUCCAGUGACACUUUGAUAAGUGAACUGAGGGACUGAAGACCAUCCUUGGCCUUUGUGCAUCAUGUGGUUCUGUAAUGCUGAGUUUGGUCGUUAGGACUUCAACAAAAACCAGACAGAAUAACAGAUGGGCGAGUGCAGCUGAUGCAGAAGUGCCUGCAUUCUCUUUAAAAGCCAGCAGAGGGCGACUCCUCAGGUUGCAAAAAGGCUUCUAGUUACACAUGAAUUAUACUUUUGCGUUAGAUCGGAAUGGAACUUAUGCCGUAAAUGGAACCUCAUUUUGACCCAAUGCCACAACCUUCUAUGUAACAUGAUGUUACUGCAUGCUGGGUUGACUCACACCAUACUGACUUUAAUGGCGUGGAAGAUUGCGACGUAGGGUUAAAAGUUAAAAGUUUGGUUACCACGUAAGUUAGGACAUGCAUUUCCUACAGUCUAAAUCUAGCUUUACACUGAAGUCUAAAAAAACCUCUUUAACGUUAGUAAACCUCAACUUUCCGGAUGAUUUUAUGUUUUACUUGUUAGCUUCAGGUCAUAUGGAUGAAGUGCAUUUCUUAAACUGGUCUUGAUUAGGGUCAGAAAGGAGGAACACCCUGUGCUUCAAAACCUCAAGAUGGUGACUAUGAAAACCCUCAUCAUCAUCAUCACACUAACCAGUGGGUAACAUCAUGGCUCAUCUUUUGUUCUGUCUCUGACAAAAAUGCCAGCGUUAUUGUAAAUCCCCACACAAAAGCCAUAAGACAGCUGUAGAUUGCAUGUUUUUGGAUGACUGAACACAAUUUUUUAGCCCAAAUGCAUUUCUAAUUAAAUAUAUCUGUCGUUAUAAUGUAGUUAUAGAGCACAGCCUGUCUUUUUUUUAUCUACUUGAAUGUUUCUCUUGCUGGGAUCCUUUGUGACGACAGCUGGCACAGAAUUUGGUUUGAAAAUGAAAGUGAAAGAUCCGUUCAGCUUUAAUCUUUUUACCACCUUGACAGCUCUCCGCCUCGUCCAUCACCAGCACUUACACAACUCGUCUUAAACAGAAACAUCUGGUUUUCCACUUGAGUGUUUUGCCUUUGUACGCAGUGAGUAAUACUUCUGUGUAACUGCACCAAGGUCAGACUUACUGCAGAGCAACUCUGGUUCCUGCUUUAAGUGACUUUUCCCCUUAAGAACACUCAGUCUCCUCUCAGAAAAGGAGUCCCGGGAUUCCUGUUAGGAAAUGCCACUUUGGUCAGCAGAAAUGCAGCCCAGUGGAAAAGAGUGUGAGAGGUUUUUGUUACAGACUGCGAAGUAAGAGCAGACAUAGCUGACAGGAAGAAACCGUGUCCUAGUUUUAACUUUCUCAUUUUGCGUCAUUCCUCCAUCAAAACAUAUAAAUCAGAAAUUUGUCGUCCAACGAAAUGACGAAAGACCCCUGCCGCGUCUCGUCGUGCUUUUGCCACACUGUUCGGUGGCGGAUACUCAAAGAGACAGACAGAAGACAAGUUUUUUAGCCCUGCACACAUAGCUGGAAUGUAUACUGAUUGACAAGCAGAUAGCCAAAGAAUUACUGAAUCAAAGAGAGGAAAAAAAGUCAAAUGAAUGGAGGGCAGAGCAGCCGUUUGCUCUGAUUUCUGUUCUGUUGUGCGUCACACUCAGGCCCCUCAGGGAGAGUGUAGCAGUUUGAGGCUAACCUUUGCAUUUUAUUGGGAGGGAUACAGUUUACAGUUGUGCUGGUUGCCAGAAUCUGUUUAUUGUUUCCCAUAUGUUUUGACAAAGUCCCCUUGGAGAGACUAAAUGUUGAAUCCCUGACCUGCUGCUUCUGUUCAUGCUCUGAUUUCUCUCCAAGCAGCUGAAUCCUGAAGAACUGAGAUUUCUUAAUCAUUUACAUCAAUACAACCUAAAGUUCUUAAUGACCACUGUGCCUGGAGGGCAUCACAGUCCGGUAUGACCUAGAAAGAUAAAAAGCUGGGAGAACAUCAGCAUCUCUAUAUAUUGACUUGUUCAUCAGCCAGGUGCAGGUGAUAGACAAGGUGCAUCCUCUUGCACUAUGAAAAGUGGAAUAGCCUUUAGCUGUGUACCUUUAACCUUUGAUAUUAAUAAAA